UGGAUUUCUUUGGACUAGAAGCUUUACAUACAGAAAGACAGAGAGAAAACUAAGGAUAAAGCUAUUUGACCGAUAUUUUAGCAGUUUCUCUCAGCAGGUGUCGACUUGGUGUUUUUUGGUUUGGUUUUAUUUAUUGUUGUCGUAUACACGGGAGCAGCAGCGUAGUUCCUCCCCCCUAAGGAACGAGCUAACAUGGGCUUUCUUUGCUACUGAGAGGGUUUUUUGUGAGGUUUCUCCUACAGCAUGGCAAACUACAGGGCUGUGAAAUACAGUGAUCCAGAAUUCACUGAUGAGGAGGAGGAUGAACCGAAGAAGAAAAGAAGGUGGAUGAGAUGGAGAAGGAAGAGCAGGAGCAGCGGGAGGAGGAGCAGGAUGAGUAUUGUCAGAGACUCCGCAGGGGGUCUGCUGAGGGAUAACCUGUCUGCCUGCCUGCCUGCCUGCCUGCCUGCCUGCCUGUCUGCCUGCCUGCCCGCCUGCCUGCCUGCCUGUCUGCCUUCUGCAGGAGAAGCAGACUGUUGGUGUUUUAUGCUCUAUCUGAUGUUCCUCACUGCAUGAAGAGGAGGAACAAGGACAGAGAAAGAUGAAGUCCUCCAGAAGGAUGUGGAAGUGGAGAAGAACAGGGGGAAAGGGACGAGCACAACCAGUGUCAUCCUCCCUCUCCCUCUAAAUGAGCCAGCACUUUUUAAACGGGGGUCCAUCUGUCCGGCUGUAAACUCUUCCUCCUCCUCCUCCUCCUCCUCCUGCAGUGGUUGGCCAAGCUAGCUGGACCUUGAGCUGAUCUCUGUGCUCCACAAAGAAGUCCACCAGCGUUCUUGUCACUGUGGCAGACGUGUGGAAGAAAAACGCUGGGAUCCACAGAAUGACGCCAUCCAGCUUCUUCAGGCUCAGGAAGAAGUUGUUUCUGUCCUGCACAGUC